rnacentral:rRNA from 1 species
CGUUGAGGCGGUCACGUAAGUUGGACGUGAAAGCUCCCGGCUUAACUGGGAGAGGACGUUCAAUACUGCGAGGCUAGAGGGUAGCAGAGGGGGGUGGAAUUCCCGGUGUAGUGGUGAAAUGCGUAGAUAUCGGGAGGAACACCAGUGGCGAAGGCGGCCCCCCUGGGCUACACCUGACGCUGAAGGCGAAAGCUAGGGUAGCAAACG